UGUUUCGGCAAGGGGGUCAUCCCGACUUACCAACCCGAUGCAAACUGCGAAUACCGGAGAAUGUUAUCACGGGAGACACACGGCGGGUGCUAACGUCCGUCGUGAAGAGGGAAACAACCCAGACCGCCAGCUAAGGUCCCAAAGUCAUGGUUAAGUGGGAAACGAUGUGGGAAGGCCCAGACAGCCAGGAUGUUGGCUUAGAAGCAGCCAUCAUUUAAAGAAAGCGUAAUAGCUCACUGGUCGAGUCGGCCUGCGCGGAAGAUGUAACGGGGCUAAACCAUGCACCGAAGCUGCGGCAGCGACGCUUAUGCGUUGUUGGGUAGGGGAGCGUUCUGUAAGCCUGUGAAGGUGUACUGUGAGGUAUGCUGGAGGUAUCAGAAGUGCGAAUGCUGACAUAAGUAACGAUAAAGCGGGUGAAAAGCCCGCUCGCCGGAAGACCAAGGGUUCCUGUCCAACGUUAAUCGGGGCAGGGUGAGUCGACCCCUAAGGCGAGGCCGAAAGGCGUAGUCGAUGGGAAACAGGUUAAUAUUCCUGUACUUGGUGUUACUGCGAAGGGGGGACGGAGAAGGCUAUGUUGGCCGGGCGACGGUUGUCCCGGUUUAAGCGUGUAGGCUGGUUUUCCAGGCAAAUCCGGAAAAUCAAGGCUGAGGCGUGAUGACGAGGCACUACGGUGCUGAAGCAACAAAUGCCCUGCUUCCAGGAAAAGCCUCUAAGCAUCAGGUAACAUCAAAUCGUACCCCAAACCGACACAGGUGGUCAGGUAGAGAAUACCAAGGCGCUUGAGAGAACUCGGGUGAAGGAACUAGGCAAAAUGGUGCCGUAACUUCGGGAGAAGGCACGCUGAUAUGUAGGUGAAGCGACUUGCUCGUGGAGCUGAAAUCAGUCGAAGAUACCAGCUGGCUGCAACUGUUUAUUAAAAACACAGCACUGUGCAAACACGAAAGUGGACGUAUACGGUGUGACGCCUGCCCGGUGCCGGAAGGUUAAUUGAUGGGGUCAGCGCAAGCGAAGCUCUUGAUCGAAGCCCCGGUAAACGGCGGCCGUAACUAUAACGGUCCUAAGGUAGCGAAAUUCCUUGUCGGGUAAGUUCCGACCUGCACGAAUGGCGUAAUGAUGGCCAGGCUGUCUCCACCCGAGACUCAGUGAAAUUGAACUCGCUGUGAAGAUGCAGUGUACCCGCGGCAAGACGGAAAGACCCCGUGAACCUUUACUAUAGCUUGACACUGAACAUUGAGCCUUGAUGUGUAGGAUAGGUGGGAGGCUUUGAAGUGUGGACGCCAGUCUGCAUGGAGCCGACCUUGAAAUACCACCCUUUAAUGUUUGAUGUUCUAACGUUGACCCGUAAUCCGGGUUGCGGACAGUGUCUGGUGGGUAGUUUGACUGGGGCGGUCUCCUCCUAAAGAGUAACGGAGGAGCACGAAGGUUGGCUAAUCCUGGUCGGACAUCAGGAGGUUAGUGCAAUGGCAUAAGCCAGCUUGACUGCGAGCGUGACGGCGCGAGCAGGUGCGAAAGCAGGUCAUAGUGAUCCGGUGGUUCUGAAUGGAAGGGCCAUCGCUCAACGGAUAAAAGGUACUCCGGGGAUAACAGGCUGAUACCGCCCAAGAGUUCAUAUCGACGGCGGUGUUUGGCACCUCGAUGUCGGCUCAUCACAUCCUGGGGCUGAAGUAGGUCCCAAGGGUAUGGCUGUUCGCCAUUUAAAGUGGUACGCGAGCUGGGUUUAGAACGUCGUGAGACAGUUCGGUCCCUAUCUGCCGUGGGCGCUGGAGAACUGAGGGGGGCUGCUCCUAGUACGAGAGGACCGGAGUGGACGCAUCACUGGUGUUCGGGUUGUCAUGCCAAUGGCACUGCCCGGUAGCUAAAUGCGGAAGAGAUAAGUGCUGAAAGCAUCUAAGCACGAAACUUGCCCCGAGAUGAGUUCUCCCUGACUCCUUGAGAGUCCUGAAGGAACGUUGAAGACGACGACGUUGAUAGGCCGGGUGUGUAAGCGCAGCGAUGCGUUGAGCUAACCGGUACUAAUGAACCGUGAG
rnacentral:rRNA from 1 species